UUAGCAGUCCCCAGAGAAUUAAGGUUUUAGGUGUUUACAGUUUAGCCACCUAAGAAUUGAAAGCCUGUUAGCAGAAAGGGGAAAUAAGGAGAAUUUUUCAUGUGAAAAUGACCAAGGACAUAGAAUUUCCUUAAGAAAUGGUUCCAAACUGUCUCCCUCCCUUCCUAGCCAGAGAUCAUAUAAUUUUGAUACUGAAGAACCCAGAACAUCUUUAAGGAAUGAAGUGUCUGGUUCAUAGUAAGUGCUUAAUAAAAUUCUUACUAACCUGAAAAGACUUACAUGAACUGAUGCUAAGUGAAGUGAGCAGUACCAAGAGAACAUUGUACACAGCAACAAGAUUAUGUGAUGGUCGACUGUGAUGGACCUAGUUCUAAGCAAUGCAGUGAUCCAAGACAAUUCCAAUUGACUCGAGAUGGAAAAUGCCAUUCACAUCCAGAGAUAGAACUACGGAGAAUGAAUGUGAAACAGAGCAUAGUAUUUUCAUCUUUUUGUUUAUUUGAUUUUUCCUUCUCAUUUUUUUUUUUUACCUUUUAGUCUGAUUUUUCUUGUACAAUAUGACA